CUUCAUCAACAUGACCUUCAUCAUCAUCUUCAUCUGGACUCUCACAGCGUUUGCUCAAGAGUGUAGAGGACAGAUCACCGUCACUCAGAGUCCCUCAAUAACAGCAGAACAACCAGGAAAAACUGUGAAAAUCAAUUGUAAACCCAGCAGUAAUGUACUCAGAUAUAGAUCUGGGAAUGAAGGUUUAUCCUGGUACUUACAGAAACCUGGAGAAGCUCCUAAACUCCUGGUUUAUUUUGUUAACACCCUCCAGUCAGGAACUCCAUCUAGAUUCAGUGGCAGUCGAUCAUCAGGGAGAGAUUUCACUCUGACCAUCAGUGGAGUCCAGACUGAAGAUGCUGGACAUUAUUACUGUCAAUGUCACCACCACAUCAUCAGUACCAAUAUAUUCACACAGUGA